ensembl:lncRNA
AUCUCUACCUGGAGAUCUUCCCUCUUGGAACCCUUCUGUGAGCCCAGGACACGGGCAUCAGGAGAGAGGAAAAAAUUCCAUCUUGGGCCCAGGAACAGGAAUAAAUCUGACAGUCUUCCUGAAACUUUGAUCUGUGCACAGGGUGACGGAAAGUGUGAUGCCAUGGCAACCCUGUCCAGGAAUGCAGCUCAGUUAUUCCAGGAGCGCAGCUGCAGGAGCCACUGAAUUCCAAGGGGCAAUUCAGUCCAUUAUUCCUCAUAUGUAGAUCUCUCCUUCUCACUGUCUGUGCUUAGAUGUGUCAGUAGCAUGCCUAAAAUAAGAUUGAUCUAACCAUGCAGAAAGUAAGUUGAGGCAACACAGUGUUCACAGGUGGGUGACUGGAAAGAGUAAGUGGAGGGAGGCUGUCCUCCUCAUUCCCACCAGGCAGGAAUUGUAAGAUUUUUGAGCAGUGUUUGGCAGCCUCAAUGGAAGUACUGAGUGCCCCAAGGGCAAGGUUACUUGACUGUGGUCAGGUGGUAGGACAGCCAUGCUCAGCUGGUUGAACAUGACCACUUUUUUUUUUGGUGUAGCCUGGACACAUGCCUCACUGCUGGUGGAAAUAAAGGCUUGCUUCCAGUCCUCUGCAAGGCAGAUAGCACCCAGUGGUGCGUACUGAGGAGCAGACUGGUGUGAGGUGAUGUCUCACUCUUAGAUGCACCCAUUCUUGUAAGGCAGCUGUUGCUGUGUGUACCAAAGGUGAACUGCAGAAAAACUGACAAUCUGAAGACAGAAACAGCAGAAAUUUGUAAGAAGGAGUUGCAUUAUUCCUGGAGCACAGUCUGCAAUUGUAAUAUUUCCUGUUGGGUUUUCAAUUAGAUAUUUAAAAAAAAACUAUAUACUUUGGCUCAAGGAUGAAAUACUUAAUAAUGGGUCAUUCAGAUGCACCUGUGACUUUGCUGCUGUUCUUGUUGUAGGAAUCCACUGCUGGAGAGAUUUUUAUCUAAGGCUUUUUCAAUUGUGUCAUUAAAUACUACUAUCAUAAGGUCAUGUUCAGCAAGCACAGGAUUUUAUUCAAAUAAAAUUAAGUUCUCAUAUUAUGAUCUUGGAAUAAAUGCUAUUUCUGCGGGUAGAACAUGGCAAUUCAGCUGUGUAUGUAACAUCCUGAACAUAGUGCAUUUCUUUUUUUUUUUCCUGAAUACCUUGAUCACUCUCUAUCAGUUUAAGUCUGGCUAUUAUGUCCCCAUGAAGUUUUUUUUCUCUUUUUAAGUUGCUAAUUACAUGCCUAUCAGAAUAAUGGAAAGAGUGAUUAUCCUUAUUGUGCUUAGUGACAUUGAAACCUCUAUUAUUCUAUGAUUGGAGCUGCAUAAUUACAGAUAAUUGCUGCAACUGUAUUGUCUGUUCAAAUAUAACUCUGCAAUAAUUACCUUAUUUUAAUUAAAUAUGUUUGGGAUUUAAGCAGAUCUCUCUUCGUUUACUCUACUAGACAGAAACUUCAUUUAGGUAUAAAAAUGUUGUACAUUGCUAACUGUAUGCUCAUUCAAUACAUCACCUAUUGAUUUCAG